rnacentral:rRNA from 1 species
CCUACGGGUGGCAGCAGUGAGGAAUAUUGGUCAAUGGGCGCGAGCCUGAACCAGCCAAGUCGCGUGAAGGAUGACUGCCCUACGGGUUGUAAACUUCUUUUAUACAGGAAUAAAGUGAGGCACGUGUGCCUUUUUGUAUGUACUUUAUGAAUAAGGAUCGGCUAACUCCGUGCCAGCAGCCGCGGUAAUACGGAGGAUCCGAGCGUUAUCCGGAUUUAUUGGGUUUAAAGGGUGCGUAGAUGGGUUGUUAAGUCAGUUGUGAAAUUUUGCGGCUCAACCGUAAAAUUGCAAUUGAUACUGGCAGCCUUGAGUACAGUUGAGGUAGGCGGAAUUCGUGGUGUAGCGGUGAAAUGCUUAGAUAUCACGAAGAACACCGAUUGCGAAGGCAACCUACUAAACUGCCACUGACAUUGAUGCACGAAAGUGUGGGGAUCAAACAGGAUUAGAUACCCCAGUAGUC